rnacentral:rRNA from 1 species
UACAGAGGGGGCAAGCGUUAUUCGGAAUUAUUGGGCGUAAAGCGCACGUAGGCGGCUUGGCAAGUCGGAUGUGAAAUCCCUCGGCUCAACCAAGGAAGUGCAUCCGAAACUGCUGAGCUUGAGUACGAAAGAGGAUCGCGGAAUUCCCGGUGUAGAGGUGAAAUUCGUAGAUAUCGGGAGGAACACCAGUGGCGAAGGCGGCGAUCUGGGUCGAUACUGACGCUGAGGUGCGAAAGCGUGGGGAGCGAACAGG